AUUAAAUCCAAAGUUAUAUUUAAACAUUUGGAACGCAUAUUGUAAGUGAUAAGUAAUAAUUAUUAGUUUUCCACAAUAACUCUUCGAUCAAGCGGAAGGUGCCAAGUCAGCGACGGGGCCCAGCGCGGGUCUUCCGGAGUAAGAAAAUCCCCUGAGACGACAGAAGGAGAACAAUCAGCCCCGCAAGUUGUGCGAGUGAAAAGGAAUCUGAGGUGGACACCCACCUGACAGAGGCUUGGGGAAUGGCGUCAGGACUGGCUGGAACCUGGACCCCCUUCUCCCACUCUUGCCUCCAGGGGUCCGCCAACAGGUAAUACUCCUCCAGUGAGAUGUGGUGGGAGUCAGGCAGCUUCAUUGCACUGAUCAGGUCUUUUCGGAAAACCUGCAACCCCGGGGAGGACGAUACAUUAAGGGAGAGGUGCGCGCACAGGUUCCGGUCACUUCCGACGACGAGGAAAGCGAAAGUCAGGCUUGCGGAAAUACCGAUACCUCUGCCGGUUUCUUCGGCAUGGAAAUGGGGGUGCCGGCCUUCCCUCCAUACUUACUGGAAGAGCAGAAAGAGGUUGAAGGACCUGAGAUGGAUAUUAGGGAGACAGAGAUAAGAAGAGCUGAAGUAAACAAAUACUCCUAAAAAUAGAGUAUGACAAAGGCAGCCACUCUAGUGAUACUCCUCAACUUACAACACGUGGUAAUUAAUCAUACUUACGGCCAUUGUCCCCCUAACUUGUACAUUAGCCUUAAAUUAUUGCAGUCAUGAUCAUCAGCUGUCAGGUCUAAUGUCAGCCACUUGCUGUGCGGUACAAUAACAUGGCACUGCAGCACCAGACGACACAGUAUUUGGAAGAUAAUCUUUUGUUGAAUUGUUCAGAGCUUGGGUGCUAGCAUACUUAUGCAAACGAAAGUAUCUGCAGGGCUUAUUUCUGUGCUUGAUUCUGGAACAUGGCAGGCAAGACAAAAUUCUUUUAGUAUGUUUAUACUUCCGGUCUUGAUAAUGUCCGACUCACAACCUGAUUUUCAGAGCCUAAGCUUGCAGAGUAUCUUAAUGUUUUUCGCUGACUGCUGUCUAUUCUGGAUAUACAGUCUGUUGCAAGCCAUAUAUUUUUUUUGGACUUAGGUACGUUGUAGGCAGCACUGGGCAUUGAUUAAAUACAUGCUUAACUGCUUGAAUACAAAACAAUCCAGCAUCAGUAUGAACACAUACUAUAUGGGAGACUGAGGUAUUCAAAAACACUGGGGGGGGGGUGAAAUGAAGGCGCAACUAUCAGGACCACACUCACUCUCAUUGUCUGAGCUGUCGCUGCUACUUGAAGACCUGUGGCGCUUCAUCCUGCAGUUCCUGAAGCCAGGAGAAAAGGAGGUCAAGGCUGGAAAGGGGGGCUCGUAAUAGCCAGAGCCAGACAUUUCAGGUCCAGAAAGUACCAACUGAGUACUCUGUGACUGUGACUCUUUAUACUCAGCUGGUUGGUUGAAACAAAAUCCUAAUUUGUAUUUGUACUUUCUGCACCUGAAAUGUCCGUCUCUGGUAGUAGCACCUUCAUGACGGCAGUGCAGGGGGUUUUAACCUUCCUCAGGCCAGGUAUGAAAUGAAAACAGAACAGUGCUAAGAAGCCCCAUAAGUAAGGACCACCUAAGGACCAAAGGGUUGGGGGGCGGCUUCCACAUACAUAUUUUUUGCUCCACAUCAAGUGAAUAGUAAUUCUGACAGUUUCUGCAGUCUCCAAACUGGAAACUUCUAUCAUACAGGAAUCUUAAGAGAACAGCAAUGCCGACUGUUUGCAGGAACAACCGAACAUCUGUGACUAAAACAUUACAAGAAGCCUCAGAGUGCUGUACUGCAAAAAUGUCGAUAUAUUUUUGUAGCACAGGAUUAGGAAUAAAGAUAAACUUACCAUACGUCCCCAAAAGAAGAGCAUGCUAGAGUAUUCUUACGUUUUCCUAAAUCUCAAGACUCAUCUCUGGGGAGGAAAAAAAAAAAACACAGUAUUUCAAAAUGAUGCAUAAGUGCAAUAUGAAUGGCAUGGUAUUAUUAAAAACUUGGCAUUCUUGGGACUCCCAGGAAUGUGUAGGAAGUUAUACUAAUAAAUCCCAGGGUACUACAUAGACAACUGAUGUUUGUGAGGGCUACCUCCAUAACUGUAGCCAUUUAUUCCCUGCACAAAAGAUUUCGGUGUCAAUGUGCUAAGAGACCGUGAUGCUGAAGCCUAGAGACAGGCUUCCCACAGAAAGGGACUUAAAGCACUGGCUGACUGCUAAUGAGCACACUCCUAAUUUUUUGCUCAGAUAAAUGAGGUGAUGAACAACAAAGUACUCCAGUUAAGACGGACAACCUCCACAGUCUGCUAGACACAACCUGCCCAAACACUGUAAAUCCACAAGUACAAGCCUAAUUAAACUUAGCACUCACACUAUGCUAUUAAAUAUCUUGACAAUUUUUAUUUCCCCAAUAUUCCGUUUUCAUGAUAUUCUCAUACUUUUUUUUGUCUGCGCUAAGUUUACUUGUUUGCACUGGAUACUGUCCUUGCACCGUUUCUUCUUUUGUACUAAUUUGUUUGCGUCUUUCCACACCUUGCUGCUGUACGCACAAGAAUUUUCCCUUGGGAUCAAUAAAGUUUAACUUAUCUUAA